rnacentral:rRNA from 1 species
GGCGGACGGGUGAGUAACACGUGGAUAACCUACCUAUAAGACUGGGAUAACUUCGGGAAACCGGAGCUAAUACCGGAUAAUAUAUUGAACCGCAUGGUUCAAUAGUGAAAGACGGUUUUGCUGUCACUUAUAGAUGGAUCCGCGCCGCAUUAGCUAGUUGGUAAGGUAACGGCUUACCAAGGCAACGAUGCGUAGCCGACCUGAGAGGGUGAUCGGCCACACUGGAACUGAGACACGGUCCAG